GGGUAUAGCUCAGUUGGGAGAGCACCUGCCUUGCACGCAGGGGGUNAAAAAAGACAGUCUUGUAGAAGACUGUCUUUUUUAAUAUUUA
rnacentral:tRNA from 1 species